rnacentral:rRNA from 1 species
UACGGGGGGGGGGUAAGCGUUUGUUCGGAAUUACUGGGCGUAAAGCGCACGUAGGCGGCGAUUCAAGUCAGAGGUGAAAGCCCGGGGCUCAACCCCGGAACUGCCUUUGAAACUAGAUUGCUAGAAUCCUGGAGAGGUGAGUGGAAUUCCGAGUGUAGAGGUGAAAUUCGUAGAUAUUCGGAAGAACACCAGUGGCGAAGGCGACUCACUGGACAGGUAUUGACGCUGAGGUGCGAAAGCGUGGGGAGCAAACAGGG